UACGAAGGGGGCUAGCGUUGUUCGGAAUUACUGGGCGUAAAGCGCACGUAGGCGGAUAUUUAAGUCAGGGGUGAAAUCCCAGAGCUCAACUCUGGAACUGCCUUUGAUACUGGGUAUCUCGAGUAUGGAAGAGGUGAGUGGAAUUCCGAGUGUAGAGGUGAAAUUCGUAGAUAUUGGGAGGAACACCAGUGGCGAAGGCGGCUCACUGGACCGGUACUGACGCUGAUGCGCGAAAGCGUGGGGAGCAAACGGG
rnacentral:rRNA from 1 species